CAGUCGUGGCCUCAAUGGUUAGAGAGUUGGGCUUGUAACCCGAAGGUGAACCUGAUGGUCAUGGGUUCGAGUCUCAGGUCCGGCUGG